GACGAACGCUGGCGGCGUGCCUAAUACAUGCAAGUAGAACGCACAGUUUAUACCGUAGCUUGCUACACCAUAGACUGUGAGUUGCGAACGGGUGAGUAACGCGUAGGUAACCUGCCUGGUAGCGGGGGAUAACUAUUGGAAACGAUAGCUAAUACCGCAUAAUAUUAAUUAUUGCAUGAUAAUUAAUUGAAAGGUGCAAUUGCACCACUACCAGAUGGACCUGCGUUGUAUUAGCUAGUAGGUGAGGUAACGGCUCACCUAGGCGACGAUACAUAGCCGACCUGAGAGGGUGAGCGGCCACACUGGGACUGGGACACGGCCCAGACUCCUACGGGAGGCAGCAGGAGGGAAUCUUCGGCAAUGGACGAAAGUCUGACCGAGCAACGCCGCGUGAGUGAAGAAGGUUUUCGGAUCGUAAAGCUCUGUUGUAAGAGAAGAACGGGUGUGAGAGUGGAAAGUUCACACUGUGACGGUAUCUUACCAGAAAGGGGCGGCUAACUACGUG
rnacentral:rRNA from 1 species